GACGAACGCUGGCGGCGUGCUUAACACAUGCAAGUCGAACGGAAAGGCCUGCUUUCCCUUGUGGAUUGCGGGUACUCGAGUGGCGAACGGGUGAGUAACACGUGAGUGAUCUGCCCCCAACUUGGGUAUAAGCCUGGGAAACUGGGUCUAAUUCCCGAUAGGACUGCAGGGUGGUGCCUGUGGUGGAAAACGAUUUUCUAGUGGUUGGGGAUGAGCUCGCGGCCUAUCAGCUUGUUGGUGGGGUAAUGGCCUACCAAGGCGGCGACGGGUAGCCGGCCUGGGAGGGUGGACGGCCACCUUGGGACUGAGAUACGGCCCAGACUCCUGCGGGAGGCGGCAGUGGGGAAUAUUGCACCAUGGGCGGAAGCCUGAUGCAGCGACGCCGCGUGGGGGAUGACGGCCUUCGGGUUGUAAACUCCUUUCGACCGCGAGGAAGCCACCUGGUUGGAAGGGUGGUGACGGUAGUGGUAGAAGAAGCACCGGCUAACUACGU
rnacentral:rRNA from 1 species